rnacentral:rRNA from 1 species
GACGAACGCUGGCGGCGUGCUUAACACAUGCAAGUCGAGCGGUAAGGCCCUUUCGGGGGUACACGAGCGGCGAACGGGUGAGUAACACGUGGGUGACCUGCCCUCAGCUCUGGGAUAAGCCUGGGAAACCGGGUCUAAUACUGGAUAUGACUCCAUGACGCAUGUUGGUGGGGUGGAAAGCCUUGUGCGGCUGAGGAUGGGCCCGCGGCCUAUCAGCUUGUUGGUGGGGUGANGGCCUACCAAGGCGACGACGGGUAGCCGGCCUGAGAGGGCGACCGGCCACACUGGGACUGAGACACGGCCCAGACUCCUACGGGAGGCAGCAGUGGGGAAUCUUGCGCAAUGGGCGAAAGCCUGACGCAGCGACGCCGCGUGAGGGAUGACGGCC